GCUAGGGGGCAUAGCGCUUACCGAACCUUAUCAAACUCCGAAUGCCACAUACUUUGAGCUCGGCAGUCAGACUACGAAUGAUAAGAUCCGUGGUCAAAAGGGAAACAGCCCAGAUCGUCAGCUAAGGUCCCAAAGUGUAAGUUAAGUGGGAAAGGAUGUGAGAUUUCUAAGACAACUAGGAUGUUGGCUUAGAAGCAGCCAUUCAUUAAAAGAGUGCGUAAUAGCUCACUAGUCGAGAGAUCUUGCGCCGAAAAUGUAACGGGGCUAAACUUACCACCGAAGCUACGGGCUUGAACUUAGUUCAAGCGGUAGGAGAGCGUCGUAACCGGGCUGAAGUCGUACCGUAAGGAGCGGUGGACUGGUUACGAGUGAGAAUGUUGGCAUCAGUAGCGAGAUGUGGGUGAGAAUCCCACAGGCCGAAAACCUAAGGUUUCCUCAGGAAGGUUCGUCCGCUGAGGGUUAGUCGGGACCUAAGCCGAGGCCGAAAGGCGUAGGUGAUGGACAACUGGUUGAUAUUCCAGUACCACUACCAUCGUUAUUAUCGAUGGCGUGACGCAGGAGGAUAGUGUGUGCUAGCUAUUGGAUGCUAGUCUAAGCGUUUAGGCAGUGAAAGUAGGCAAAUCCGCUUUCAUAAUGCUGAGGCGUGAUGGGGAAGGUUCUACGGAACCGAAGUACAUGAUUCCACGCUGCCAAGAAAAGCGUCUAGAGAGAGAAGUAGUGCCCGUACCGCAAACCGACACAGGUAGGUGAGGAGAGAAUCCUAAGGCCGGCGGAAGAAUUACAGUUAAGGAACUCGGCAAAUUGACCCCGUAAGUUCGCGAGAAGGGGUGCCUACGAGAGUAGGCCGCAGAGAAUAGGCCCAAGCAACUGUUUAGCAAAAACACAGGUCUCUGCUAAAGCGUA
rnacentral:rRNA from 1 species